rnacentral:lncRNA from 1 species
CCCCUCUCCAGGACCACCCUCUCCGGGCAGGCUGACAUAGGAGCACCAUGUAGAGCAUGUGUGCAGGCAGGGACCAGAGUAUCAACAAUACAAGUGGUAUGUGCUGGCAGGUGAUCUGCUGGCCAUUCCCAAUGGGAUCACUUCUAGCCUUCGAUUCAGAGUCAUUUGAACACACAUGUUGUAGUGCACUACACACACGCAGCAGCAACUGGACUGAGCAAGAGGACUGCUCACAGGAUGAGGCUUCAGGCACUGAAUACACAGAUGGACAAAAGCACUUAAAAAGCUCUGCUACAGACAAGAAGACAACCUGAUAGAUUAAUCCAUCCCAGCAAAAUAUUUCCAUCUCUACUAUCUGUCCUUGUCAGUGAACAGUAGAUGCUGAGUUUUAUCAAUAAGACUGAGCUUGAUCUAACUGCUGCAGAGCCUUUUGGAGUUCUAUCAUUUCAGCUUCCAAAAAUAUUUAAGCUAAUUCAAGAAAUUUCUCAAACCUGAACGUUGCAUUUCAUCUUUCAGAGGAAAUGAUUCUGAGUGCUGCAUGUGGAGUAUUUUCAGCUCUGAGGUUUGAACUCAUGGUAGUAAUUGGAAAUGUGAAAUUUUUUAAGUAAGCUAAGUUUGGGCCCUGAAACUUUACUCUCCGAGGCAUGUUUAUAUAUAUACUCUUUCACAGAGACAGUGUGUUCCAAAUUGUCCAGUCCUCCCAUGAACUGGAAAUGUAGCACUUGUACCAAUAAGAAGGACAUGACUGCUUUUCUGGGUUUUUGGAUUCUAACACUUCUUUAUGCAGUUGUUUGCCUCCAUCCAAGUAGCAAAGUUAUUUCAUAAACAUAAAGUAUUUUCAUGAUGAAAUUUUAAGGAUGAUCAUUCAUUGCUUUGUUCUCCAGUUCAUUUUUUUCAGUUUCUGUGGUGAAAAGCACAUGAUAUCCAUAGUAAAUUCCUUGCCAAAGUUAAAAUAUAUUCCACUCUCAAUUUUCCAGGAACUCAAAAUGACCACAUUUUACUUCAAGAAACAAAAAAGUGACAUUCUGAAAACAAGAAAGUGUCCGAGGCCCCAGAUAAUUUCAUUUUCUGUGGUUGGUUAGAAGAUUCCAUUCCCUGAAAUCUGUGGUCUGCCCAUUGGCUUCCACAGCUUUGUUAUCUCCUUGUUGCAUUGUGAGGUAAUACAAAUAAUGUCAGCAAAAUUGCUAAUAAGCAUGUUAAAUAAGUAAUGCACUUGAUGUGAUGCUUCCAGGACUUGGCAGAUGCCAGUUAGCACACAAUCUACACACCCAAGAUAUCCUCAGCACGCUAUCUCUAAGAAAAAAAUCCAAAUUACUUUUGUUGUCGCAAGGUUCCUGAACAAUUAAUCAUAAAUCAAGAUCCUACAUAGGUCUCUAAUGCACACUGCAGCCUGCACCUACUACCUGAAGUCCUCAGCUAAUAGUUCAUGUUUUCAGCACAAUAAAACUCACAAAGGCA